rnacentral:misc_RNA from 1 species
CUCCCCGGGAACCUGGUGCCCUCCUCCCCGGGAACCUGGUGCCCUCCUCCCCGGGAACCUGGUGCCCUCCUCCCCCUUACUCCAAUCCCAAUGCAUGGAUAGAGGCUUGACGGUGUUUGUGGCAGUUCAUGUCCCGGAUGUGUUACUAAAUGGGUGGCGCUGGAGGCUUGGGGCGAUACCACCACUCGUUUGUCUGUUGGCGAUUAGUGUUGUCCCCCUGAGUGGCCAGCGUGGCCCCGUACCAUUCAGGACACGAGUUGCAACGGGCGCGCACUGAAGCUAGCGUGCCCUCCCGAAGAGUGUCAGUAAAAUAAAAUACAAAAACACAAUCACGGUUGCACCAAGCACAACAUCAAACACAUACAAUGCUGAAGAGUAGGAGUAUCGAGGGCAUAUCCGUGGCUCAUAACACAGUCACAGUUCAGAAGGCCGGCACGCGGUGUCAACCAGGCCACCAUUCCUCUCCGCAUUAAAGCACUCGGUGGGGGAGGGUGCCCUGGUUGACACAAUGUGCCGCGCAUCAACCAGCGCGACGGAAGUUGGCCUCCAGCAAAGCAUAUUUUGCACGCAAAUGGUGUCCGCUCUCCCAAACCACACGAAUGGCACCAUGGCAAAAAACACUCCCCCACAAUGUAUUGACCUUGUUUGUUAAUGAAAUUGUGGCACUGACUUCGGCAGACGCCAAGUGGUGGAUAUAGAACCACCUUUCAUGGCAGUACAUUGCUGCAUGUGCCACAUGUUCAAAAGCAAUAAACAGAUUAAAAGAA